AAAACCUGUUAACCAUAUUUAGAAAGUUCCUCCCCCUAAAAACCACCAACGCGCUUGUCAAGAGCACUUAUAAAGGCUGAGUCUUCUCUUCCAAAUUCAACAAGCUCACCUGACAGCUCACGACAAACAACUGAAUCCUGUGUGACUCUCUGCCUGUCCAGACUUCAGCUGCAACAAUGUCGCAAAUCGCUAACGUCAAGGAUGUCAGUGCUGGCAGUAACGCAGGCAAAAUUGGUGCCGACAAUACGUAUGAUGUACAAGGUGGUGCUGGAAAAAAUGCUUCUCUGGGUAACGUCACUGACGUCACAGUCUGUGGAGCAAAUGAUGGCAAAAUCGGAGCAGAAAACCAGUAUGACAUCAAAGGGGGACUGGGAGAUUGUUCCAGUAUUGGAAACGUUUCUGGGGUCAGUGUUGGUCAAAACUCAGGAUCCAUUGGUGCCGGCAACAAGAUAAACAUCAGUUAAGGAAAUCUGCCCCCAACAGAUGGACAACUCUGGAGAAUAGUUGUAGUAGUAGCAUUUGUUGUUGUAUCAGUAGCAGUAGUAGGAAUAUGUUUUCGCACAUGUUUAACUCAUCAUUUCAAAUUGGCAAAAAAUGACUCUUUCAUGAGCUGAAUGUAAAAAAGUUUCAAUAAAAAUAAAGUCCAUCAACUCUAUC